UACGUAGGUGACUAGCGUUGUCCGGAUUUACUGGGCGUAAAGGGCUCGUAGGCGGCCAACUAAGUCAGACGUGAAAUCCCUCGGCUUAACCGGGGAACUGCGUCUGAUACUGGAUGGCUUGAGUUUGGGAGGGGGAUGCGGAAUUCCAGGUGUAGCGGUGAAAUGCGUAGAUAUCUGGAGGAACACCGGUGGCGAAGGCGGCAUCCUGGACCAACACUGACACUGAGGAGCGAAAGCCAGGGGAGCAAACGGG
rnacentral:rRNA from 1 species